rnacentral:rRNA from 1 species
GACGAGUCCGGCAAACGUUAUUCGGAAUUACUGGGCUUAAAGCGUGCGUAGGUGGUCUGAAGGGUUGGGAGUGAAAUCCCACGGCCUAACCGUGGAAUUGCUCUCAAAACCGUUAGACUAGAGGAGGUUAGAGGCGAGCGGAACUACGGGUGGAGCGGUGAAAUGCGUUGAUAUCCGUAGGAACACCGGUGGCGAAGGCGGCUCGCUGGGGCCUUUCGUGACACUGAGGCACGAAAGCUAGGGUAGCGAACGGG